CAAACAUUGGACUCCAGAUUCUUUAGUUUUGGAACUCGGACUGUCUCUCCUUGCUCCUCGGCCUGCAGACGGGCUACUGUGGGACCUUGUGAUCGUACAAGUAAAUAGGAAACUCACAAUUUUUCCAGCAAAACUUGUAUGUGAAAAUAUAAGCAAAAUGAUAAAUGUGACUGGCCGACAAGCAAAAAACAUUGUUUACCAUCAAACAGCACCAAAACUUCUGGCUGUGUUAUUACCAAUUUGAAUGGACCUUUGCCGAAAGUCCCUGAAGCCAAGCCACACUGCUAACUGAUGAGAGACCAGCUUGAAAGAGGGAGGACCUGCCAAUUGCCAUCAGCACAACUCCAGAUAUAUGGGAGUCAGGCUUUAGGGCAAAAACCGGGGAUCACAGAAUGCUUGCUCAAUCAACUUUGCUCAUCCAAAAUCACAAAAAUCGCCUCAAAAAAUGUUGAUGAUAAUUUAAUUUUCUUCACUCUCCAUGAAGAUGUUAGAUAAUGCUCACUCUGGGUGAGAAUAAAAGCCAGACUCAUCAA
rnacentral:lncRNA from 1 species